UUCUCCCCCGAAACGUCACAGUGUUUACAAGGACAGAGUUACUGGAAGUUUGAGACCUGUUUCAAGUCACACUGACAUGAUGCACUGCAGACCUGCUUCAUGACAGAAUUGGGCCUUUUCAAAAACCUCAAUUCUACCCGUAGAUCAUUUAUUCACAGUUAUUAAAAUAAAAAAGCAUCUAAAGAUAUUAAAGACAACCAGAUGUUUCCAUCAACGUCAUUCAGGCUUUCACCACACCAUUACAGAGCAUGUAUCAGUUUAUCAGGAAAAUGAAAGAAUAAUUCUUUCAUCAGUUGGCUCUGAGGCACAUUAAGUAAAACCACGAUUCCAAAAAAAGUUUGGACGCAGUGUCAAAUCUUGAUGGAAACACAUCUUGAUGGUUCGCAUAUCAGAUAAACCCUGUUUUUAAUUUGAAAACUGCAAACCAGUUUUGGACUGGCACAAUCUUCAGGCCCUCAAGUGGUGCUGCAUAACACCAAACCCACCUUGUGGUCAUGCUAGUACCUUGUCCAACUUGAUAUGUACUUAGGUAAAGGGGGAAAACGUUCUGUAGUCGAAUGAAUAAAAAUUUGAUUUUGGAAAUAAUGGAUGCAACAUCCUCAGCUUGAAGGAUUGAGCAGGCCACCCCGCUCUGGCUGCACACCCUCCAGAAGCUCUGAGGAUGACGAGACGGACUCCAUCUCUGCAGGACAGUAUAUACAAGUGUUGGAGAAAUAUGCUGUCAAGACAAUACUUUCAGGAAAGACUGACAACAUGUCAGGAAGACAAUCCCAAACAAUAUCCUGCUCGUAUUCCAACAGCAUGGCACUGUAGGAGAAAAGUCCAGCUGCUAAACUGCUACAAAAGAAGACCCCGAGCAGAAGAGCUAAAAUCCUAGAUCAGGCAUUAGUGGGAAAACACCACAUUUCAACACUCCAGAAACUGGUCUCAUCAGUUCCCUUACCAAAAACGGAUUAAAGUGUACUUAAAGUAUAGUAUUACAUCAGCCAGAUGUAAACAUGUCAAAGUAAAUAUCACUGAUUAUCAAAUUAAAACAGCUCCUGUUAGUAGACGUGUUAUGUUCGGCAGCAAGAGAACAUGUUCUCCUCAAAGCUGAUGGACUGGACAGAGAUAAAUGGACAAGUGUACGAAUGUGACCUUGGCGAGGGCCGAACUGUGACAGUUUGAUGACUGGACCAGAGUGUUUUCAAAACUGCAGUUUUUGUGGGAUUUUCCAGCUCAUCCAGGGUCAAAAUCUAACUCAAGUGAUCCAAGGAAGAAAAACGGGUAAGUGGGCAUUAAGUGGAGGUGAGACUCACCAGUGGCCCCACGAUACGAUAUCAUUGCGAUCUUUAACAUUUUGCAAUACAGUGAGUAUUGAGAUACAAUAUAUAGCGAACUAUUCAAUUUUUUUAACUGUUUAGCUAAUUUAGCAUUUGUAUUUCAUUUAUGUUUGUCUUGUUACACCUAAUUUUAUUUUCAUGUGGCACACCAUGCAACCCUUAUGUGCUGGGUCCAUCUCAUUGGUGCCCUGCUCUAUGAUGUCGCCUCACUGGACAAACGAUAAGUUUUAUUUCUCCAUUAUCAUAGAUUUGACUUCAUAUUAACAAUUUGAUAAAACCGAUACUUGGUAAAUGAGACGAUACAAUGUAUCACCAGACAAAAUAUUGCAAUACUUUGCUGUUAGUUUGUUUUCUCCCACCCCUAGCAUCAAGGUCAUGAGCUUUCAAAGCCUGUGAUGGAGAUGGAGAGUGAAGGCUGUGUAGGAGCUGACUGAAGAGCUACGAGAACUGCUUAAUAACAGUAAAGUACACCCAUUUAAACUCAUUAUUUCAGCCUGGGACACCUAAAGAGUAGUUUCCCAUGACUUGUAGCUAAAAAAAUCCUUGUUUAUCUUAUACUUGUGUCCAUAAACACCACCAGCUUAAUUUCCAGUGUAAUAUACAGUUAGACACAGCUUAUGUUACUUUUUACACAACUUUAUAGUCAUAAAAUGACCUGAUAGUUCUGCCUUUUUAAUGCUGGCCUGGUUUACUGCUGAAGUAUCUACAAUGGACCCUUGAGAAGUGGACUACAAAGCAAUGGAAGAGGGUAACCUGAAGAAACACAAGUCCAAGGUUCUCCAGAUCUCAGUCCAACUGAGCAUCAGGACAGUGGUUCAUGCAGGCCCUACUGUAGGACUUCAUUUUAGGCCAGAUCUCACAGUCCACCUUCAGAGGUCCAGUGGAGUCUGUAUCAUGUCAGGUCAGGGCUGUUUUGAAAAAUAAAUGCCAUGAAGCUCUAUUUUCAGAUACGGCCCUCUUCAUAACGUGAAUGGACCUGAUGUUUUGCUCCUCUAAUUCAGCUGCUCUUAUGCUGCUUAUUAGAAUGAAUUUGAUUUAUUUGGGCACACAGACUACAAAGCUUGCAGUAUGAGGCCAAAUAAUUAAUCAAAUAGUACAAAACAGCUGCUUUGAAAAUUUUGGACUAAUUUCCUGGACAAACAUUCAUUUCCGGGAACACAGAUCUCUACGCGCUCAAACCCGAUGAACGCAGGGAACUUUUUUCAAAAUGUUGCUCCAAGUAUUGUCCUAAAACAUGCUGAAAUGAAGGCAACCAUGUAAAUCAGGACUGAGUUUCUUGUUUCUGGGGGUUUCUGAAAGCUUAUUUUCUAGGAUAUAAGAUACUAUGAAGUAAGUUAAAAGACAGGAAUAAGAGGAAAAAGAAAUCAGAAUAACAACAAAGCAAACCUUCCUUCAACAUAACUCAUGCAGUGUCCUUUAUAUUAACCACAGUCAUUUAUCUCCUUCAUAUCUCCACUCCACCUGUUUGGCCUCAAGAACAGAAAAGCUUCAGUUCAAAAAAUACUCAUGAAUUUAUAAACUGAAAAAUUACAUAAACUUCAACUUCAACUUUAUUUCAUUUAUAUGGCACUUUUCCUACAAAGUUGUAACACAAAGUGCCUUACAAAGCAUAAAAAGAAAAUGAAACAUUAAAAUCCCCAAGAAAACCCCAAACCUCCCACCCGCA